CUCUUCCUAGUUUAGGGGUGACACAGGUUUGGACUGGGCCGGCGCGUGCGGUGCACAAACAAUUUCUCUUCCUACUUUAGGGGUGACACAGGUUUGGGCUGGGCCGCUAACAAUUUCUCAACUAAGAACGGCGAUGAGUUGAAAAUAGGUCGGAUUAACCAAUAAUUAUCCUACAAUUAAAUAUGCAUACCCGUUUAUACCCACAUUAGGUCGGGUCCAAUCAC
rnacentral:lncRNA from 1 species